UAUAAUAACUUAACAGAUUGAUUGCGAGAAUUGGCAUAAGUUGACACCUUCAAUUGUAUCUUUCUAUAUAAAUAAUUUUUCUCUUUGGCAAAAAGAAAUCCUAUAUAAUCAAGAAGUAUUUAACUCAAAUAGGCAACUGAACAUUGGACCAAAAAUUACUACAUUUUGGCAUGGCACAAAUAAAAAAGAAUAUAGAAUUUGACAUGUUUAUGAUAUAUUUUAAGCAUUCUCUUUUUCUCUCUCUUAUUUCUCCAUCUC
rnacentral:lncRNA from 1 species